AAUGAACGCUGGCGGCAGGCCUAAUACAUGCAAGUCGAACGAAUGCCUUAGGGCCUGAGUGGCAGACGGGUGACUACCGCCUGGGAACCUACACCUUGGUAAGCGAUAGCUACGGGAAACUGGAGAUAAUACCGCCUGUGUUCUGAGGGACAAAGAUUCAUCGCCACGGGAUGCGCUAGCGUCGGAUUAGUUAGCUGUUGGGGUAACGGCCUACCAAGGCGACGAUCCGUAGCUGGUCUAAGAGGAUGGUCAGCCACAUUGGGACUGAGACACGGCCCAAACUCCUACGGGAGGCAGCAGUGGGGAAUAUUGGACAAUGGGCGCAAGCCUGAACCAGCCAUGCCGCGUGAGUGAUGAAGGCCCUAGAGUUGUAAAGCUCUUGCACCGGUGACGGUAAUGACGGUAACCGAAGAAGAAGCCCCGGCUAACUUCGUG
rnacentral:rRNA from 1 species